CAGUCGCCACGGGAAUACGUAGGUGGCAAGCGUUGUCCGGAACUAUUGGGCGUAAAGGGCUCGCAGGCGGUUUCUUAAGUCUGAUGUGAAAGCCCCCGGCUCAACCGGGGAGGGUCAUUGGAAACUGGGAAACUUGAGUGCAGAAGGGGAGAGUGGAAUUCCACGUGUAGCGGUGAAAUGCGUAGAGAUGUGGAGGAACACCAGUGGCGAAGGCGACUCUCUGGUCUGUAACUGACGCUGAGGAGCGAAAGCGUGGGGAGCGAACGGGAUUAGAUACCCGGGUAGUCCCUGUCUCUUAUAC
rnacentral:rRNA from 1 species